rnacentral:rRNA from 1 species
GAUGAACGCUGGCGGCGUGCCUAAUACAUGCAAGUCGAGCGAACGGACGAGGCGCUUGCUCCUCUGACGUUAGCGGCGGACGGGUGAGUCACACGUGGCUAACCUACCUAUAAGACUGGGGUCACUUCGGGAGAGCGGAGAUCAUACCGGAUCAUAUAUUGAACCGCAUGGUUCUAUAGUGCUAGACGGUUUUGCUGUCACUAAUAGAUGGAUCCGCGCCGCAUUAGCUAGUUGGUAAGGUAACGGCUUACCAAGGCGACGAUGCGUAGCCGACCUGAGAGGGUGAUCAGCCACACUGGAACUGAGACACGGUCCAGACUCCUACGGGAGGCAGCAGUAGGGAAUAUUCCGCAAUGGGCGAAAGCCUGACGGAGCAACGCCGCGUGAGUGAAGAAGGUCUUCGGAUCGUAAAACUCUGUUAUUAGGGAAGAACAAAUGUGUAAGUAACUAUGCACGUCUUGACGGUACCAAAACAGAAAGCCCCGGCUAACUUCGUG